rnacentral:rRNA from 1 species
GACGAACGCUGGCGGCGUGCUUAACACAUGCAAGUCGAACGGAAAGGCCCUGCUUUUGUGGGGUGCUCGAGUGGCGAACGGGUUAGUAACACGUGAGUAACCUGCCCUUGACUUUGGGAUAACUUCAGGAAACUGGGGCUAAUACCGGAUAGGAGCUCCUGCUGCAUGGUGGGGGUUGGAAAGUUUCGGCGGUUGGGGAUGGACUCGCGGCUUAUCAGCUUGUUGGUGGGGUAGUGGCUUACCAAGGCUUUGACGGGUAGCCGGCCUGAGAGGGUGACCGGCCACAUUGGGACUGAGAUACGGCCGAGACUCAUACGGGAGGCAGCAGUGGGGAAUAUUGCACAAUGGGCGGAAGCCUGAUGCAGCAACGCCGCGUGCGGGAUGACGGCCUUCGGGUUGUAAACCGCUUUCGCCUGUGACGAAGCGUGAGUGACGGUAAUGGGUAAAGAAGCACCGGCUAACUACGUG